AUUGAACGCUGGCGGCAGGCCUAACACAUGCAAGUCGAGCGGACGAAGGGAGCUCGUUCCUGGAUUCAGCUGCGGACGGGCGGGUAAGGCCCAGGAAGCUGCCUUGCAUUUGGGGAUAACGUCCGUUAACGGGCGCUAAUACCGCAUACGUCCUGAGGUUGAAAGUGGGGGAUCUUUGGACCUCACGCUAUCUGAUGAGCCUAGGUCGGAUUGGCUAGUUGGUGGGGUAAAGGCCUACCAGGGCGACGAACCGUAACUGGUCUGAGAGGAUGAUCAGUCACACUGAAACUGGGACACGGUCCAGCCUCCAACGGGAGGCAGAGGAGGGGAAUAUUGGAAAAUGGGCGAAAGCCUGAGCCAGCCAUGCCGGGUGUGUGAAGAAGGUCUUCGGAUUGUAAAGCAUUUUAAGUUGGGAGAAAAGCAGUAAGUUAAUACCUUGCUGUUUUGACGUUACCAACAGAAUAAGCACCGGCUAACUUCGUG
rnacentral:rRNA from 1 species